GAUGAACGCUGGCGGCGUGCCUAAUACAUGCAAGUCGAGCGAACAGAUAAGGAGCUUGCUCCUUUGACGUUAGCGGCGGACGGGUGAGUAACACGUGGAUAACCUACCUAUAAGACUGGGAUAACUUCGGGAAACCGGAGCUAAUACCGGAUAAAAUAUUGAACCGCAUGGUUCAAUAGUGAAAGGCGGCUUUGCUGUCACUUAUAGAUGGAUCCGCGCCGUAUUAGCUAGUUGGUAAGGUAACGGCUUACCAAGGCAACGAUACGUAGCCGACCUGAGAGGGUGAUCGGCCACACUGGAACUGAGACACGGUCCAGACUCCUACGGGAGGCAGCAGUAGGGAAUCUUCCGCAAUGGGCGAAAGCCUGACGGAGCAACGCCGCGUGAGUGAUGAAGGUCUUCGGAUCGUAAAACUCUGUUAUCAGGGAAGAACAAAUGCGUAAGUAACUGUGCACAUCUUGACGGUACCUGAUCAGAAAGCCACGGCUAACUACGUG
rnacentral:rRNA from 1 species